GCCUGGGUGGCUCAGUCAGUUAAGCAUCUGACUUUGGCUCAGGGCAUGAUCUCACAGUACGUGGGUUUGAGCCCCACAUUGGGCU
rnacentral:tRNA from 1 species